GACCGAAUGGCGUAGUGGUUAGUGACCCUACGCCUACUACUGAGCCGAAGGUCCCGGGUUCGAUUCCCGGCUGGGGCA
rnacentral:tRNA from 1 species